AUCGACAACCACACCUCCUUGUCAUCUGAUCUUGGGAACCAAGCAGGGUUGGGCCUGAACAGUACUUAGCUGGAAGCUCAUCUGAAAAUGCUGGGUGUUGUAGGCU
rnacentral:rRNA from 1 species